rnacentral:rRNA from 1 species
AGUGAACGCUGGCGGUAGGCCUAACACAUGCGAGUCGAACGGCAGCACAGUAAGAGCUUGCUCUUACGGGUGGCGAGUGGCGGACGGGUGAGGAAUACAUCGGAAUCUACUUUUUCGUGGGGGAUAACGUAGGGAAACUUACGCUAAUACCGCAUACGACCUACGGGUGAAAGCAGGGGAUCUUCGGACCUUGCGCGAUUGAAUGAGCCGAUGUCGGAUUAGCUAGUUGGCGGGGUAAAGGCCCACCAGGGCGACGAUCCGUAGCUGGUCUGAGAGGAUGAUCAGCCACACUGGAACUGAGACACGGUCCAGACUCCUACGGGAGGCAGCAGUGGGGAAUAUUGGACAAUGGGCGCAAGCCUGAUCCAGCCAUACCGCGUGGGUGAAGAAGGCCUUCGGGUUGUAAAGCCCUUCUGUUGGGAAAGAAAAGCAGCAGGUUAAUACCCCGCUGUUCUGACGGUACCCAAAGAAUAAGCACCGGCUAACUUCGUG